rnacentral:rRNA from 1 species
AUUGAACGCUGGCGGCAUGCUUUACACAUGCAAGUCGAACGGGCCGGGGGCAACUCCGGUCAGUGGCGAACGGGUGAGUAAUGCAUCGGAACGUAUCCCGUAGUGGGGGAUAACCCAGCGAAAGCUGGGCUAAUACCGCAUAUGCUCUAUGGAGGAAAGUGGGGGACCGCGAGGCCUCACGCUAUGGGAGCGGCCGAUGUCCGAUUAGCUAGUUGGUGGGGUAAUGGCCACCAAGGCGACGAUCGGUAGCUGGUCUGAGAGGAUGAUCAGCCACACUGGGACUGAGACACGGCCCAGACUCCUACGGGAGGCAGCAGUGGGGAAUUUUGGACAAUGGGGGCAACCCCUGAUCCAGCCAUGCCGCGUGCGGGAAGAAGGCCUCGGUGU